ACAUAGAUAUAAUCAUUACUUUCGCAUCACCAAUAAUUGUUGGUGUAUACCGAUAUUUAUGUCAACAGUUAUUUUACAGAAGAAAGAGAUAAUAUUUAUGUUAAAUUAUGCUAAUUUUUUGUACUUAAGAAAAUUAUCUUCGAACAGACAUAUGUAAUUAGUCAUAAAUUAAACAAAGAGUUCUAGGUAUGCGUUUCAACGAGAUAUGACUGGCUUUGUUAGUCAAACUUCCGUUAUCUAGGCUAAUAGACAUGCAUAACAAUUCACGAAGCGGCAUUAUGACAAUAAAAAAAUCAGUCGGAUGCCAUGCGGAAUUGCGUGUCAAUUUUUUUAAAUCGACGUUGGAAAGUGAAGUUGAAAUGAAAGUUAGAAGGAACUGGAUGCAAGGAAGCGUCAUGAAAUUACGAGAAUCGCUCACUGUGAGAAAAUUAUUUCCGGCUAUUAAAUUGGAGACUUCAAUUAUUGAUAUCUAAAAAAGAAAUAUAAGAAUUUUAUUUGAUUCGUAAAUUUUCAAAUUACAUAAUUAAAAUAGCUAUAAACUUCAUCGAAAUAUUUUAACAUGAAUAACAUAGGAUAUCUUGUAUAUUAAAAAAUUACUGAAUAUAAAAAAUUGAUACACAAAAUGAACACUGUCAUUAGCAAAUGCUGUAAUAUCAUGAAAAAAAAUGGAGUUUUAAAGCUUGCGCAUUAUAGAAAUUGUGCCUUGAAGUGCCGAGGAAGAGAUAAACAAGAACCGGAAAGAAUGCCAUAUAAAUACCAAUGAUCGGUGGCACGUUGCCCAAUAUUGCAUACGCCAUCCCUGUAAUAUAAUUAAAAUCUUUAUAAUACGAAUUUUAAUGUUUUAA